rnacentral:rRNA from 1 species
UACAGAGGGUGCAAGCGUUAAUCGGAAUUACUGGGCGUAAAGCGAGCGUAGUCGGUUAUUUAAGUCGGGUGUGAAAGCCCCGGGCUCAACCUGGGAAUUGCAUUCGAUACUGGAUAGCUAGAGUUCGGCAGAGGGAAGCGGAAUUUCCGGUGUUAGCGGUGGAAAUGACGUAGAUAUCGGAAGGAACAUCAGUGGCGAAAGCGGCUUCCUGGACCAGAACUGACGAUCAGGCUCGAAAGCGUGGGGAGCAAACAGGG